rnacentral:rRNA from 1 species
UGACGGUACCCACAGAAGAAGCUCCGGCUAACUACGUGCCAGCAGCCGCGGUAAUACGUAGGGAGCAAGCGUUAUCCGGAUUCAUUGGGCGUAAAGCGCGCGUAGGCGGCUUGUUAAGCAAGAUUUUAAAUCUGGGGGCUCAACCUUCAGCCGGAUCUUGAACUGGCAGGCUCGAGUUUGGUAGAGGAAAGUGGAAUUCCCAGUGUAGCGGUGAAAUGCGCAGAUAUUGGGAAGAACACCAAUGGCGAAGGCAGCUUUCUGGGCCAUAACUGACGCUGAGGUGCGAAAGCUAGGGGAGCGAACAGGAUUAGAUACCCUG